rnacentral:rRNA from 1 species
AUGGCCACCUGCCUCUCAGACAGGAUCACUGACCAUUCCCUGGAUUUUCUGGGGUUGAAGGAAACUAUGAAGAAAGACCUCACUCCUAAAUGCUUGAGAAGGAUUGAUCCCUUUGACAUAUUUCAAUGGGACUGGGUGCCUUCUGUAGGCAAAUCUGGGGGGAUCCUGUGCGGUGUGAGGAGAGAUACAUUAGAAGUAAUUUCUUGUUCUAAGGGCAAAUAUGUGCUCCAAAUGGUGCUUUUUGACAAGAAGAAAAAGUUUCAGUGGGGAUUGUUAGUGUUCUAUGGGUCAGCACACGAUGAAUUCAAAAAUGAAUUCUUGAUUGAACUAGCUACCUCAUGUAGUGGCGUGAGUGUGCCCUACAUAGUGGGGGAGACUUUAAUAUUUUGA